UGCGUAGGCGGUCCAGCAAGUCAGGCGUGAAAGCCCUCGGCUCAACCGAGGAACUGCGCUUGAAACUGCUGGACUUGAGUUCGGGAGAGGGCGGCGGAAUUCCGGGUGUAGGAGUGAAAUCCGUAGAUAUCCGGAGGAACACCGGUGGCGAAGGCGGCCGCCUGGACCGAUACUGACGCUGAGGUACGAAAGCGUGGGGAGCAAACAGGAUUAGAUACCCUGGUAGUCC
rnacentral:rRNA from 1 species